UACGGGGGGGGCAAGCGUUGUUCGGAAUUACUGGGCGUAAAGGGCUCGUAGGCGGCCAACUAAGUCAGACGUGAAAUCCCUCGGCUUAACCGGGGAACUGCGUCUGAUACUGGAUGGCUUGAGUUCGGGAGAGGGAUGCGGAAUUCCAGGUGUAGCGGUGAAAUGCGUAGAUAUCUGGAGGAACACCGGUGGCGAAGGCGGCAUCCUGGACCGAUACUGACGCUGAGGAGCGAAAGCGUGGGUAGCAAACAGG
rnacentral:rRNA from 1 species